UUUAAGUUUUUAAUUAUAUAUUAUAUUUUAAUUUUAAAAAAAAAAGAAAGAAAAAAGAGAA
rnacentral:ribozyme from 14 species